rnacentral:lncRNA from 1 species
UUUUUGUCAAGUUGGACAGCUCUCUUCUCGUUGUCUGUCCAUUCUUCUUUAACCUUGAUUUGCAUUUGGUUUGGAUCGUCAGUGGUUGUUGCAAGCUUUGUUGGAAUCUAGGGCCCAUUUUGAACGGUCUCAAAUAGAUCUUCAUCUAUUGAGUCCAUGUACGCUUUCAUCCUGACUUUCCAGUUAGCAAAUUUAUCCUUGUUGCACAUUGGUGGCUUGCUGCCUCCCCCGGUCCUGGAUUCGCUUGGUACGAGUGCCAUUGGAUCUACUAAAGCUUGUAAGCUAUAAAAUAGAACCUGCUCUGAUACCAAUUGUUAGUUCCUAGUUGGCACA